GGAGGAGGACCUGCAAUGCUUCAGGAAGCAGGCAGCCUGUCUUGGCUUCUCUGGAGACCCAGACUUUUACUACGACCCCAGUAAAGAAUUCUGCGCUGAAGGUGAAGGCCGACAGAUGAUGCUCUGACCAUAAAGCCCAGAGGUGUCAUCAGAAAGUAAUUCUACAAAAAUAAAAGUGGCAAA